CAGCAGCUCGGGCAGCGGGAGCGACGGCAGCGGCUAGGCAGCCCAGCUUCGCGAAGGCUCUCGGCGCGCCGCGGCCCGCAGGCACCCGGCACGCGCCCUCCCCGCCGCCAAGAUGCCCAAGAGAAAGGUCAGCUCAGCCGAAGGCGCGGUGAAGGAAGAGCCCAAGAGGAGAUCUGCGCGGCUGUCAGCUAAACCUGCUCCUGCAAAAGUGGAAACGAAGCCCAAAAAGGCAGCAGCAAAGGAUAAAUCUUGAGACAAAAAAGUGCAACCAAAAGGGAAAAGGGGAGCAAAGGGAAAACAGGCUGAAGUGGCUAACCAAGAAACUAAAGAAGAUUUACCUGCAGAAAAUGGAGAAACUAAAACUGAGGAGAGUCCAGCCUCUGAUGAAGCAGGAGAGAAAGAAGCCAAGUCUGAUUAAUAUCAUAUACCAUGUCUUAUCAGUGGUCCCUGUCUCCCUUCUUGUACAAUCCAGAGGAAUAUUUUUAUCAACUAUUUUGUAAAUGCAAGUUUCUUAGUAGCUCUAGAAACAUUUUUAAGAAGGAGGGAAUCCCACCUCAUCCCAUUUUUUAAGUGUAAAUGCUUUUUUUUAAGAGGUGAAAUCAUUCACUGGUUGUUUAUUUUUUGGUACAACCAGAAAAUAGUGUGGGAUAUUGAAUUAUGGGAGGCUUUGACUGGCUUGGGUGUCAGCUUAACAUUCCAUAGAUGGGGGUUAGUUUUUAUAUCCUAUAAUAUAAAGCAUACUAAAUGGCAAUAUGGAGUCCCAGGCCUGCAUUUAAUGUCUUGAACAUUUUAAAUUACUUCUAUUCCCAUGUUGUUUUUUAGUAGACUUGUUUCCUAAAGAAAACCACUCCUUGAUCAUGGCUGUCUCUGUCAGAAUUGCGUAUACUCUGUAACAUCUUUGGUCGUGGUGGUCCUGUUUUCCUAAUAACUUUGUUAAUGUGCUGUGAAGGAUUGAAAAUUUGAGUAUGUAGUAUAUAUGAUAAUAAAUUGUGAAUUGGUGGGA